rnacentral:rRNA from 1 species
UUCGGGAGUGAGUAGCGGAAGGGUGAGGAACGCGUGAGUAAUCUGCCCCCCAGUUGGGAAUAACAGUUGGAAACGACUGCUAAUACCGAAUGUGGCUUAAGCUUCGCCUGGAGCUUUGGCUAAAGAUUUAUCGCUGGGGGAUGAGCUCGCGUCCCAUUAGCUAGUUGGUGAGGUAACGGCUCACCAAGGCGACGAUGGGUAGCUGGUCUGAGAGGAUGGUCAGCCACACUGGGACUGAGACACUGCCCAGACUCCUACGGGAGGCUGCAGUCGAGAAUCUUGGGCAAUGCGCGAAAGCGUGACCCAGCAAUGCCGCGUGUACGAUGAAGGCCCUCGGGUCGUAAAGUACUGUCUCCCGUGACGAAAUUUGACGGUAGCGGGGAAGGAAGCCACGGCUAACUACGUGCCAGCAGCCGCGGUAAUACGUAGGUGGCGAGCGUUGUUCGGAUUUAUUGGGCGUAAAGGGUCUGUAGGAGGUUUGUUAAAUACGGGGUGAAAUCCCGAAGCUCAACUUCGGAAUUGCCUUGUAGACUGACGGACUAGAGUACCGGAGAGGUAAGCGGAAUACCAGGUGUAGCGGUGGAAUGCGUAGAUAUCUGGUAGAACACCAAAAGCGAAGGCAGCUUGCUGGACGGAAACUGACUCUGAAAGACGAAAGCAUGGGGAGCAAACAGGAUUAGAUACCCUGGUAGUCCAUGCCGUAAACGUUG